CCAAUAGCGUAUAUUAAAGUUGUUGCAGUUAAAAAGCUCGUAGUUGAAUUUCGGGAUCAGUACGCUGGUCAUGCCUUUGGUAUGCACUGGUGUCACUGGUUUCUCCCUUCUGAAGAACCGUGAUGUCAUUAAUUUGGUGUCGCGGGGAACCAGGACUGUUACUUUGAACAAAUUAGUGUGUUUAAAGCAGGCUCACGCUUGAGUACAUUAGCAUGGAAUAAGUAAAUAGGACGUUUGACCCUAUUUUGUUGGUUUCUAGGAUCGACGUAAUGAUUAAUAGGGAUAGUUGGGGGCAUUAGUAUUCAAUUGUCAGAGGUGAAAUUCUUGGAUUUAUUGAAGACUAACUACUGCGAAAGCAUUUGCCAAGGAUGUUUUCAUUAAUCAAGAACGAAAGUUAGGGGAUCGAAGACGAUCAGAUACCGUCGUAGUCUUAACCAUAAACUAUGCCGACUAGGGAUCGGAUGAUGUUAAUUUUAUAAUGACUCAUUCGGCGCCUUACG
rnacentral:rRNA from 1 species